GAUGAACGCUGGCGGCGUGCUUAACACAUGCAAGUCGAACGAUGACUUCUGUGCUUGCACAGAAUGAUUAGUGGCGAACGGGUGAGUAACACGUGAGUAACCUGCCCUUGACUUCGGGAUAAGCCUGGGAAACCGGGUCUAAUACCGGAUACGACCUCCUGGCGCAUGCCAUGGGGGUGGAAAGCUUUAUUGCGGUUUUGGAUGGACUCGCGGCCUAUCAGCUUGUUGGUUGGGGUAAUGGCCCACCAAGGCGACGACGGGUAGCCGGCCUGAGAGGGUGACCGGCCACACUGGGACUGAGACACGGCCCAGACUCCUACGGGAGGCAG
rnacentral:rRNA from 1 species